rnacentral:misc_RNA from 1 species
GAUGAAGAACGUAGCUAAAUGCGAUAAAUAAUGUGAAUUGCAGAAUUCAGUGAAUCAUCGAGUCUUUGAACGCACAUUGCGCCCCCUGGUAUUCCGGGGGGCAUGCCUGUCCGAGCGUCAUUGCUGCCCUCAAGCACGGCUUGUGUGUUGGGCCCCCGUCCCCCCCUCCCGGGGGACGGGCCCGAAAGGCAGCGGCGGCACCGCGUCCGGUCCUCGAGCGUAUGGGGCUUUGUCACCCGCUCUGUAGGCCCGGCCGGCGCCUGCCGACCACCAUCAAUCUUUUUUCAGGUUGACCUCGGAUCAGGUAGGGAUACCCGCUGAACUUAAGCAUAUCAAUAAGCGGAGGA